rnacentral:rRNA from 1 species
GUGCCAGCAGCCGCGGUAAAACGUAGGAGGCGAGCGUUAUCCGGAUUUACUGGGCGUAAAGCGCGCGUAGGCGGCUGGUCAAGUCGGAUGUGAAAGCCCCUGGCUCAACUGGGGGAGGCCAUUCGAUACUGAUCGGCUUGAGGGUGAGAGAGGAAAGUGGAAUUCCCGGUGUAGCGGUGGAAUGCGUAGAGAUCGGGAGGAACACCAGUGGCGAAAGCGGCUUUCUGGCUCACCCCUGACGCUGAGAGCGCGACAGCGUGGGGAGCAAACGGGAUUAGAUACCCGGGUAGUCC